CAGCGCCACAAGUGGGAGUCGCUUUUAUUGGGCCUAAAGCGUUCGUAGCCGGUUUAGUAAAUCUUUUGUGAAAUUGUCAAGCUUAACUUGACAGCGAGCAGGGGACACUGCUAAACUAGAGACCGGGAGGAGUUGGAGGUAUGUUUGGGGGAGCGGUAAAAUGCUAUAAUCCCUUAUAGACCACCUGUGGCGAAGGCGUCCAACUAGAACGGAUCUGACGGUGAGGAACGAAAGCCAGGGGAGCGAACCGGAUUAGAUACCCGAGUAGUCC
rnacentral:rRNA from 1 species